rnacentral:tRNA from 1 species
AAGGAUGUAGCUCAGUGGUAGAACACAUGCUUACAGCAUGUAGGGUUCUGGGUUCAAUCCCCAGCUCCAUUU